rnacentral:tRNA from 1 species
AUUUAAAUAGUUUAAAAAAAAUUAUGAUUUGUGGUGUCAUAGAUAUAUUAAAAUAUAUUUUAAAUU